ACGGAUUUGGUAUGUGGUCGUUGUUCGGAAACCGUGGUUGUUGGCGUGGUUUCACUGCGACAGUUGGGUGCACGGUGGAGGGUGCGUGGACGGUGUUCACGACGAGGGUUCCACCGGAAGUUUAGGACGGUUGGUUGUGGAAGUGAAGAAGAAGAAGAACCAUAUUCUUCUCUUCUGCAGAAGAAGAGCAGUGCCCUCUGUCUUUUCUUUUUAUUUUUCUUUUUCUUUUCUUUUUAGAGAGAGAGUAGGCUAUUGAGUGGGUCCAUGGAAAGUAGUCGUGUGCAGUGAAUUUUCACAGUCUUUUCUCCUUAUUCUUUUAUUUUUUUAGUGAGAGAGAUAUCAUGAUGAGAGGGUGUAACGUGUGGUCAAGGAAAAGAGAGACCACUUUUUUCUUUUCUUUUCUUUUUUGUUUUCUUCGUUUUUCAGAGAGUGGAGAGAGAUCAAGCGAGUGAGUGGAUGGAGGGCCUUUUCC
rnacentral:lncRNA from 1 species